CAUCCUCGAUCUGCUGGGGACAGAUGAAAUGGAUGUGGCUGUCGAUGCCCCCGGCGGUCAGGAUGCGGCCCUCGCCCGCGAUGGCCUCGGUCCCCGGCCCGACGACGAUGGUCACGCCGGGCUGGAUAUCGGGGUUGCCGGCCUUGCCGAUCCCCGCGAUCCGGCCGUCGCGCAGGCCCACAUCGGCCUUGUAGAUGCCGGUGUGGUCCAGGAUCAGGGCAUUGGUGAUGACCGUGUCCACCGCCCCUUCGGCGCGCGACCGCUGGCUUUGCCCCAUGCCGUCGCGGAUG
rnacentral:sRNA from 1 species